ensembl:misc_RNA
UUGACAGCCUUGGAGACUGGAGUCUUCCAUUCAACCGCAACCCGGGUGCGGCACAGACAGAGGCAAUGUGAAUCUCCUCGACGUCCCGCCCCUGCCCCUCACAGAGGAGUCACUUCCAGGGAAGAAUGGGCAUUGUGGUCUGCACAGGUGGUUGAUCUGUGGCCCUC